AACGAACGCUGGCGGCGCGCUUAACACAUGCAAGUCGAACGAGAAGGCGUAGCAAUACGCUUGUAAAGUGGCGAACGGGUGAGGAAUACAUGGGUAACCUACCCUCGAGUGGGGGAUAACCCGCCGAAAGGCGGGCGUAAUACCGCGUACGCUUCCGAUCUCGCGGGAUCGGAAGGAAAGCUGGUCCCAAGGGAUGGCGCUCAAGGAUGGGCUCAUGUCCUAUCAGCUUGUUGGUAGGGUAACGGCCUACCAAGGCAUCGACGGGUAGCUGGUCUGAGAGGACGAUCAGCCACACUGGCACUGCGACACGGGCCAGACUCCUACGGGAGGCAGCAGUGAGGAAUAUUGCGCAAUGGGCGAAAGCCCUGACGCAGCGACGCCGCGUGGGGGAUGAAGGUCUU
rnacentral:rRNA from 1 species